GAGCUUUGGGUGAAUAUAAUAAAUCGCGAAGAUUAAGAAAGAACAAGUUCACAUGGAGCAUUCCCAUUGUAAGUUGUUUAAAUUAUAUAUAUAGAAUUUCAAUUAUAAUUUAUAUGUUUUUAUCUAUAUAAUAUUUACUCAUUAUAAUUUACGUAUAAUAUUCAAUUUUAGUAUCAAAGACAACCUAAAGGUUAUGAGUGUGGUUACUACAUUAUGAUACAUAUGUUGAACAUUGUAUCUAGUGGUCUUGUUGAUUCAUGGAUGCGGGUAUGUGAUAGAUUUUUUCAAAGUUAGUAUUAAUUAACUACUUAUGAUUUU
rnacentral:lncRNA from 1 species